UACGGAGGGAGCUAGCGUUGUUCGGAAUUACUGGGCGUAAAGCGCCCGUAGGCGGCUUUUUAAGUCAGGGGUGAAAUCCCGGAGCUCAACUCCGGAACUGCCCUUGAAACUGGGAAGCUAGAAUCUUGGAGAGGCGAGUGGAAUUCCGAGUGUAGAGGUGAAAUUCGUAGAUAUUCGGAAGAACACCAGUGGCGAAGGCGACUCGCUGGACAAGUAUUGACGCUGAGGUGCGAAAGCGUGGGGAGCAAACAGG
rnacentral:rRNA from 1 species